UGGAAAGUAAUUGGUUCGAUACGCGAAAGUAGCUGCUCAUUUUAGAAAGAGAGAUGUACUUGUAAGAAGUUCUCAGAAAAUAUCUACCUGGAAAAUAUCAGAUUGAUCGGAAUGAUCAAGAUUUACAGAGAGUAUCACGUAUUGCGUAUUAGCCUGUAUAGAACGUAUGCGACGUACCGUGCAAUGAGGUUAACGUGUAAUCGCGAUGAAGAUAUGGUCCGAUUAAUGACGCAAUUUGUCUUGAGAAUUUACUCCUAAUUGCGUCUCGAUUUGCACCAGAGAUCUUCGCUGUCGUUCACGAUUUUUUCUAUUUCUACGCAUUUCUUCUGUCAUCGCGAUACGUUGCAUUCGGUUAGAUCAAAAGAAUGACUUGAGAAUUGUCGAAUGGUAACAAGUAUGUGUACCUGGUAAAACGCAACUAACAUAAGACACGCAUCGGGAAUGUACUUCCUUAUGAUCGGCAUCGAGUACGUUGACCGAUCGGUAGAUCUGCCAGAUGCUUCGGACUUUUCAGGAAGUGACUGCAUACUGUGUUGUUACUCGUCUCUGGGCUUACCACAAAUGGACUCGGUCUUCUUUCUCUUUCUCUUUCUUUUUUUCAUUCGAGCUGAAAGAGCUUUGCGAGUUCGACGUGCCGCAUCGUGAUCGCACCUAU